ACCCCUGUAGUUCAACGGAUAGAGCGCCAGUUUACGGAGCUGGAGGUGGGAGUUCGAUUCUUCCCAGGGGUA
rnacentral:tRNA from 1 species